GAUCCUGGCUCAGGAUGAACGCUGGCGGCGUGCUUAACACAUGCAAGUCGAGCGAAGCACUGGUUUUGAUUUCUUCGGAUUGACGGACCUUUGACUGAGCGGCGGACGGGUGAGUAACGCGUGGGGAACCUGCCCCAUACAGGGGGAUAACAGUUAGAAAUGACUGCUAAUACCGCAUAAGCGCACACUGAGGCAUCUCAGAGUGUGAAAAACUCCGGUGGUAUGGGAUGGACCCGCGUCGGAUUAGCCAGUUGGCGGGGUAACGGCCCACCAAAGCGACGAUCCGUAGCCGGCCUGAGAGGGCGACCGGCCACAUUGGGACUGAGACACGGCCCAAACUCCUACGGGAGGCAGCAGUGGGGAAUAUUGCACAAUGGGGGAAACCCUGAUGCAGCGACGCCGCGUGAGUGAUGAAGUAUUUCGGUACGUAAAGCUCUUUAAGCAGGGAAGAUAAUGACGGUACCUGCAGAAUAAGCACCGGCUAAAUACGUGCC
rnacentral:rRNA from 1 species